UAGUAUAUGGAAUACCCAUUCUAUAAACCCACUCUGUGUAUCUUGUAACUGUUGCUUCCAUGGGACUUGGACCUGUGUCCACACCGGCCUUACCGCUGGUGAGCGCCCAUGGGAGGAGAAACAAAACUCUUCUUUGAACUGUAGUCAGUCUGAACAUGUUUUUAUAAACGUUA
rnacentral:misc_RNA from 1 species